GGGGAUAUAGUAUAAUUGGUAUUACGGUAGUGUUGCACGCUAUUUAUUUGAGUUCGAUUCUCAAUAUCUCCA